rnacentral:rRNA from 1 species
CCUACGGGUGGCUGCAGUGAGGAAUAUUGGUCAAUGGACGCAAGUCUGAACCAGCCAUGCCGCGUGCAGGAUGACGGCUCUAUGAGUUGUAAACUGCUUUUGUACGAGGGUAAACCCCGAUACGUGUAUCGGGUUGAAAGUAUCGUACGAAUAAGGAUCGGCUAACUCCGUGCCAGCAGCCGCGGUAAUACGGAGGAUCCGAGCGUUAUCCGGAUUUAUUGGGUUUAAAGGGUGCGUAGGCGGUUUGAUAAGUUAGAGGUGAAAUGUCGGGGCUCAACCCCGAAACUGCCUCUAAUACUGUUGGACUAGAGAAUAGUUGCGGUAGGCGGAAUGUAUGGUGUAGCGGUGAAAUGCUUAGAUAUCACACAGAACACCGAUUGCGAAGGCAUCUCACGAAUCCGCGAUUGACGCUGAUGCACGAAAGCGUGGGUAUCAAACAGGAUUAGAUACCCCAGUAGUC